rnacentral:lncRNA from 1 species
GCCCUCAUGUCCUCUCUCUAGUUCUUCAAUUCUUUCUCUCUAAACUCUCUGCAAUCUCUCUCUCUUUGUCUCGGUAUAGGCAUACAACACCACCUUUAAACCACCUCCAUUGAUCAAAACUCAUCCCAAACAUCUUCUCCGCCCUCCCCUCUCCUUCUUUCAUUGGAUUCUGCCCAAAACAGAAGAGGAAACGGGAAGCAACAACCAGCGGAGACCAAAAACGCCACCAUCAGCUAUCCCACUGCCACCAUCAUCCAACCUCCACCUUACUCCCUGUUCCGACGACCCAAUAGCCUCCAAACAGCCCCUUGACCACCCUCAGAAGCCACCUUCUCUCCUUUCUGUCGAUCAGCUGCCAAACGAAGCCAGGAAACGACAGCAGGAGGCUGCCCGAAGCCCACUGCCAUCCCUCGCCACCCACUGCCGAAGGUCCUGCCACCCAUCGACUGUGUUGCUGUGCUGCAUUGUAGGUACUCCAUACACCGAAAAUUGUUUUACGUACUGCUUUCCUGUCGAUCGUCGCAGCCCAAAACGAAACCAUUUUUUUUUAUUGUGUUUGAUCAUCUGCGUUCGAACAUGCACAGGGAAGGAAACCAUCAAAAUUCAAACUUUCAAAAAGAGUCCAAACCCUUUAAAUUUCUAUUCCAAAAUAAUUAAAAACCCCCUCCUUGAGAAAUGCUUUACGAAACAAGUCCAAGACUAUCAAACUUCAAUUAAAAGUUUCAAAAUCUACCCUUUUUUAGAAAAACCCUUUCAAAUAAAUCCAAAAUUAUAAUACAAAAUUUUAAUAAAUUUAUUUUUAAAUAUUAUGGAUUUAUCUUAUAUUAAAUAAAAUUUAGAUUAAAUAAUAUUUUAGAAAUUAUUAAAUAAAUUUUAAUUUAAAUUAAAAUCUUAGAUGAUGUUAAAUUAAAUUUUUAGAUAAAAUUUAUUUAAAUAAAUUUUGGAUUAACAAAACUUUAGAAACUAUUAAAUAAAUCAUUUACUUAGCUAAAAUAUCAAAUACCUGCCACAUAUUAAUUUAUGUUAAUAUUUCUUUUUGAAACUAGAUUAUCUUGGAGUAUCGUGUUCACGUCAAUACAUCUCGGCUUUAUUGCAUCCCUUCUCAAAACAAAUCGAUAAUCACACUUUAAGGUGAGUGUUACGGCCCCUCUUUUGUAUUUACUUAUUUUGGGGGAGAAUACAUGUACUAAUUAUUAUAAAAUUAUACAAAAAUAUUACCACACUAUCUUUCGACUACUUACGGUACAAGGAAUCUGGUUUGAAGGAUCGCAUCGGGUUGUUGGAUUUCAGAAUGACUUAAUUGCUAAAAGUAUUCUGCCCUCCGGUGUUUCAUGUGUGGCUCUCGUCUGUACAUAGUAGUUGCAAAACAUUGUUUGACUCUUAUAUAUCAUAAGUAAACAAUAUCGUUUUAAACUUCAAUAUCUUAGUGUGUUAUGUCGUUAGAAUAAUAAAACCAUUGAAAUAACAUAUGCCUUUUUACUAUGGAGUUUAUAAAAGAAACAUACUUUGUUAUAAUAGUUAGUGCAUUAUACUUUACAUACAUGUCAUUCAUACUCGACUUUUAUAAAGUUGAUACCAUGAAAUUCGUUAUGCGUAGAACUUACCUACAAUUAAGUUAGUGUUGAGAGUUAUUCGCAUACUUUUUAGUUAAGGGUUUUUUAGUGAGAUAUUAUUCAUUAGCCGAGUCUAAACACUUAGCAUACUCACACUACUAUAACUGUUAAUAUUCGAGAUGAGAGACAUAUGCAUAGAUCUAUACGGGGUUGACAUCCCCACUUGCGGUUGCUAGCUACAAUGUCGAUCGAUCAGUCGAAGCAGGUGAUAAGUGUCUACGAUCGUUAUUGCAACGUCCAAUGAAGCAUUGUAGCAGGAUACACCCAGUCACAUAGCUCGGUUAUAGAACUCAAUAAAAACAUUAGCUCGAAUCUUUUUCUCUCUUACUACAACUCAUAAACUUGAUUCUUUCAAAACUAUUUUAAACGUGAAAUUACUUAUACCAAGACAUUGUUUGGAAUUUUCAAAGUUUAUUUAAAUAUGGUUUACGUAUACAACAAAAUACUUUUUUGAAUGCUUUUCAAAGUAUGAUCACUGUUGCUAGCAGAAAACCUGUGACCCUCACCAACCUUGUGUUGACCCUCAAAACUACAUGUAUUCUCAGAGAAUCAGAAAUCACAGAAAUUCAGACAAUGGAUAGUCAGGGAUCUCAGGCAAUUUAGUUUAUUACUUUUUGUUAUGACAGCGUACCUGUUUAACGUAAUUCAUAUAUUGUAUUUGUGUUAUAUAUUCAGCUUAUAUGUGAUCCAUGAACUUAGUCGCACUGCUCGGCAUGUUCCGUUGCCUUGGUCGGGGGUGUGACAUGUAAGCCAUUGGAUUGUGUAUUGUAGAAAUAAAGGGUAAAAUGGGAAAAAGGGUUAUUUUGGACUUUUUCAUGUAUUAUGAAUUUAGUUGUGUAUGCUUUAAGUCAAAAUUAAUUAGAUAGAAUUGUAGGGCUUGUAAAUACAUUCAUGUGCAUAUAAAGAUCACUGAAAUCGAGUUUAAAAUAAAGAUGUUAUGAUUGUUUAAAGUUGAAAACUAAAAAUCUGUGGAAUUGCACUAAGGGUGCGGAGUGCCUCUUUAAUGAGCGUGAGGUGCCUCCGACCAAGUAGGUAACACAUUUUUUUAGGGUUCUUGGAGUACCUAAAGGCCAUUAAACCAAGAGUUUCGUCAUUUUCAGCCUUAACCUCCUCUAGAACACGUCUAAUGAAACUAUAUCCUCCAUUGAAGUGUUUCAAGCUAUCCUCUCUCCUAAAUCCAUUUUGGUACUCUUUUAAUGAUCUUUUGGUGCUCUUGAGUGAAGGAAAAAAAAGGAAUAUUAUUCAAAGAAGCUUUAUAUUUCAAGUAUUCAGCUCUCUCUACACUUUUAGACCUUGGUAAGCCUUAAAGAUCCAAGCUUCAUUGUGUUUCAUCACUAAAUCUAUGAGUAUUUUUGGUUCUAGUCUAUUUUAAUAAUUUUUGUCCCUUUGACCUGUUCCAUGGAGUUUGAAGAACUCCAUGAGCUUUGGUUCAUAUAUAAAGUUCAAAUCUAGAUAUUUGGUGGAAUAAAGAGUGUAUGCAAGAACUCUCUUUACUCAAUGCAUCAAGAAAAUGGGUUUUGGACAAUUAUUAGCUUAGGGUUUUAGAUCUUGAAAGUUUGUCGAAUUAUUAUGGAUAAAAAUGGAUACUUUAGCCAUUUAGACAUCAUGUUGAUUCAAAUCUGAAAGUUGGAUGCUUGGACUUGAUGGAUUAAGUCGAGAAAGAUGCAUUCUUGGACUCUUUGAAACUUAGAGUUUAGAUCAAUGUUUUUUGGACCAUCCAAAUGGAUAAAUUUGGAAAUUUUAUCCAUUAUGAUGCUAUUAAGUACCAAAUUUGAAAUGUUGGAGGUUUGACUUAAUGAAGUAAGUCAAAAUCCCAUUUGGAAAGAGGAUGGACGCGAUUUGUUUGUUUAGGAUGUGGGGCAUUUUUGAUUUGUUCUGAAACGCAUUUGUCUUAGCAUGUGAAUCAAAUAUUUUCUCUCGUAGUGAGCGUUGGGCGCCCAGUGGUGGGUGCAGCAUACCUAGUUGAUCAAGAUUUGACUUUUUGAUCAUUUAGUUUUGUCAAAUUUGACUUUUGGUCAAACAUUGGAAGAAUUGAGUAUUUUUCAGUGGAUUGGUUUUGGUUAUCAUUUGGUGGCUUGUGUUAGUUGUUUAUGUGAUGGGGUUACUGGUGGGCUUUUGUUGGUUAGCUUAGGUAAGUAUUAUUACUGUAUUUUUUAUAUCGUGUGUUGUAUGUGGUUCAUUGAUGACUGGUUUCUUGAUAACCUAAAUUGUUGUAUGUGAGUCGUUUAUGACUCGUGGUUGCUGCUAACCCAAAUUGUUGUAUGUGGUUAAUAAGGUCCCUAGGGUUACUGAUAACCCACAUUGUUGUAUCUGAGUCGUUGAUGACUCGGGGUUGUUGAUAACCCUAGUAUGCAGUUUUGAGUUGUUGAUGACUUAGGGUUGCUGAUGACCCAUAGUUGUUGUAUAUAUGUUUAACUGUGUUGUGUUGUAUGUGAUAUUUUGGAGAACUCACUAAGCUUUGGCUUACAGUUAUGGAAGAAAUGUUUUCAAGUGCUUCAUUAGAUUAUGGGAAGGCAAAGGUGUGAUUGUACACAUAGAUCGUCAAUUUUAUGAUUUGAGAUUUUGUGAAACUUUCGUUAUAACUGUGAUUUAUGGAUUUCAGUUUAUAAACAAAUGGUUUUGCUUUGAAUAUACCUUU